rnacentral:rRNA from 1 species
UACGAAGGUCCCAAGCGUUAUCCGGAUUUAUUGGGUUUAAAGGGUGCGUAGGCGGGCUAUUAAGUCAGUGGUGAAAUCCCCGAGCCUAACUCGGAAAUUGCCAUUGAUACUGAUGGUCUUGAGUACAUUUGAAGUGGGCGGAAUGUGUCAUGUAGCGGUGAAAUGCUUAGAUAUGACACAGAACACCGAUUGCGUAGGCAGCUCACUAAACUGUAACUGACGCUGAGGCACGAAAGCGUGGGGAGCAAACAGG